rnacentral:rRNA from 1 species
AACUGGGGGUGCAAGCGUUAUCCGGAAUCACUGGGUUUAAAGGGUGCGUAGGCGGCUAUAUAAGUCAGAGGUGAAAGUUUGUCGCUUAACGAUAGAACUGCCUUUGAUACUGUUAAGCUUGAAAGUAGGUGAGGGUGGCGGAAUUUGACCUGUAGCGGUGAAAUGCAUAGAUAUGUCAUAGAACACCGAUUGCGAAGGCAGCCGGCUAAGCUGACUUUGACGCUGAGGCACGAAAGCGUGGGUAGCGAACAGG